CCUACGGGAGGCAGCAGUGAGGAAUAUUGGUCAAUGGACGAGAGUCUGAACCAGCCAAGUAGCGUGAAGGAUGACUGCCCUAUGGGUUGUAAACUUCUUUUAUAUGGGAAUAAAAUGUUCCACGUGUGGGUUUUUGUAUGUACCAUAUGAAUAAGGAUCGGCUAAUUCCGUGCCAGCAGCCGCGGUAAUACGGAGGAUCCGAGCGUUAUCCGGAUUUAUUGGGUUUAAAGGGAGCGUAGGUGGAUUGUUAAGUCAGUUGUGAAAGUUUGCGGCUCAACCGUAAAAUUGCAGUUGAAACUGGCAGUCUUGAGUACAGUAGAGGUGGGCGGAAUUCGUGGUGUAGCGGUGAAAUGCUUAGAUAUCACGAAGAACUCCGAUUGCGAAGGCAGCUCACUGGACUGCAACUGACACUGAGGCUCGAAGGUGUGGGUAUCAAACAGGAUUAGAUACCCCGGUAGUC
rnacentral:rRNA from 1 species